rnacentral:rRNA from 1 species
CCUACGGGAGGCAGCAGUGAGGAAUAUUGGUCAAUGGUCGGGAGACUGAACCAGCCAAGCCGCGUGAGGGAUGAAGGUACAGAGUAUCGUAAACCUCUUUUGUCAGGGAACAAAGGCGGGGACGUGUCCCCGGAUGAGUGUACCUGAAGAAAAAGCAUCGGCUAACUCCGUGCCAGCAGCCGCGGUAAUACGGAGGAUGCGAGCGUUAUCCGGAUUUAUUGGGUUUAACGGGUGCGCAGGCGGUCUGUUAAGUCAGCGGUAAAAGCGCGGGGCUCAACCCCGGCCAGCCGUUGAAACUGGCAGUCUCGAGUUGGAGAGAAGUAUGCGGAAUGCGCGGUGUAGCGGUGAAAUGCAUAGAUACCGCGCAGAACUCCGAUUGCGAAGGCAGCAUGCCGGCUCCACACUGACGCUGAGGCACGAAAGCGUGGGUAUCGAACAGGAUUAGAUACCCUAGUAGUC